AGCAGCCGCGGUAAUUCCAGCUCCAAUAGCGUAUAUUAAAAUUGUUGCAGUUAAAAAGCUCGUAGUUGGAUUUCUGGCUUGGUGCGCGCUGUCCGCCAAGGUUUCUUGGUGUGUACAGAAGUGCGCCUGCCAUCCUUCCGGAAAACGACUCUACCCUUCACUGGGCCGGGGUCGCUUCUGGAUCAUUUACUUUGAAAAAAU
rnacentral:rRNA from 1 species